rnacentral:lncRNA from 1 species
GGCUUUUAGACUCUUGGCUAACAUCCGAGCUGCGUCCACAUCCAUAUCUACAGCGAAAGAAGAUCGGCACAGUUUAGAAACAGAGCCGCGAAAAAAGGGAGAGUUUUGGAACUAACCUAGGCUAGUCUGAAGGAUGCAGAGAUGUAGAGAUGGGGAUGACUCGAAGAAUGCCUAAGGCCGAGAAGGACGCUGGGGAAGAACGAAACUCUCAGGAAGAAGGAGGGACCAAAGAAACUCCCAGGCAAAGUGAGACCCCUGAAGGAGGGAGGCGGGUUUAAAUAGGCGACGGAGUCCGGUGCAAUAAUGACUGCAAAUCUCCUCUGGCCGAUCUAUAACCGCCACAUGGCCCACUUAUCGUGGCAGGUGGCUAAAGGCGACUAACAACU